rnacentral:rRNA from 1 species
ACUUAAAUUGAAGAGUUUGAUCAUGGCUCAGAUUGAACGCUGGCGGCAGGCCUAACACAUGCAAGUCGAACGGUAGCACAGAGG